rnacentral:rRNA from 1 species
UACGUAGGGUGCUAGCGUUGUUCGGAAUUAUUGGGCGUAAAGCGCGUGUAGGCGGCUGUCCAAGUCGGGUGUGAAAUCCCUGGGCUUAACCGAGGAAGUGCAUUCGAAACUAGACAGCUGGAAGACGGCAGAGGAAGGUGGAAUUCCUAGUGUAGAGGUGAAAUUCGUAGAUAUUAGGAGGAAUACCGGUGGCGAAGGCGGCCUUCUGGACCGUUCUUGACGCUGAGACGCGAAAGCGUGGGUAGCAAACAGG